CAAUCUACCCAAAACUGGUGAAUAGCCCUCCGAAAGGAGGAUUAACACAUCGUAACCUAAUGAAGUGGCAUCAUUUUAUUAAUAUAGCUCCGGCGGUUUUGGAUGAGCGUGCGCCUGAUUAGGUAGUUGGCGGGGUAACGGCCCACCAAGCCUGCGAUCAGUAACUGGUGUGAGAGCACGACCAGUCACACGGGCACUGAGACACGGGCCCGACUCCUACGGGAGGCAGCAGUAAGGAAUAUUGGUCAAUGGACGCAAGUCUGAACCAGCCAUGCCGCGUGAAGGAUGAAGGUCCUCUGGAUUGUAAACUUCUUUUAUGUGGGACGAAACCUCUUAUUCUUAAGAGACUGACGGUACCAUAGGGAAUAAGCACCGGCUAACUCCGUGCCAGCAGCCGCGGUAAUACGGAGGGUGCAAGCGUUAUCCGGAUUCACUGGGUUUAAAGGGAGCGUAGGAGGGCAGGGUAAGUCAGUGGUGAAAAUCUUCGAGCUUAACUCGGAAA
rnacentral:rRNA from 1 species